GAUUGCUCUGUAAUAAGUUAUAUGCAUGCUCUAUUUUACUAAGUACUAAGAUCAUACUCCAAAAUGUCUGCAUCCAUUUACACUCUGACUGACAAGAUUUUACAAACACUCACCAACAAGAGAUGCUAUUUGAUGUGCUAUUUCUUCCUAUUUAGAGAUGUAAAAUGAUACCAUGUUGUUAUCCUAAUUUACAUUUGUCUUAUUAGUGAGAUUGAAUAUUGCUUUAUAUAAUUAUUAUUAGCCACCAAUCACAUCCUCACCAGCCAGUACUACUCUGUUUCCUUGACUGCCUCCUUAGCAUCUCCCUGAAUUGUAAAUAUUGGUGUGUCAGAAGGCUCUAUAUUUGAACAUCAUCUCUUCUCAAUCUAUAAUCACUAUCUUGAUUUUUAAAACCAUCAGUCUAGAUGAGAUCACCAUCUAUGUCCUGAUGACUUCCAAAUUUAUAUCUUUAGGCAGGACUUCUCCGUUAUAUCCAACUGCCUCCUUAAUGUGUCCUCUUGAUAUUCAGAAUAUAUCUUUUAAAGAAUCUUUCAAAGAAGAUACACGUUAUGAUAAAAUUUCUGAUAAUUUUUAUGCUGACACUUUAUUUUACCAAAAUAUGUAUAUAUUAGUUCAGAUAAAUAUUAAACCCAUCUUGAUUUCCUGGAAAGAAAGGAAACAACAGAAGGCCCGGCCUGCCAGCUGUUGGGUGGGUUAAAGCUACGAUACUGGAUUUUCAUCUGCAUAAAUACAUGAGCAAUGCUGAAUGACACCGUUUCCAUCUUCCGACACCUCCCUGGCCCUCAUCCACAUGGGAAUUGAACAUCUCAUUGCUUUAUAGUCACGUUUGAUCAAACAUGAUAUUAAUUAUCCAGCUUAAUCUCCUACCUUGAGCAUCAGAACUGGUCUGAAUAAAUUGACUGCCUUGUAAGACUGUCAGCUUUUAAGAGUUGAAUAUUUUCCAUCAAAGAAGAAACUAAAAGAUUUGGACCAUCUUAUCUAAAGACACUUUCCAGACAAGUGUCCACAAUGUUUUGAAUGACUGCAACACUGCAUUAAAUGUAUGAUUGUUCAACUUUGCUACUUUAAAGGAAACAGAACUCAUUUAAAUAAGUGAUCUCCAAUUAUUAGUAUCCCAUUUUUUUGUUACGAAGAUAAUUUUAUUUAGAUUGCGUAUAAAAUAUGUUUUUUAUGUGUAAAACAGAUUUUUUUCUUGUUGAAAUUCGGUGGAGGGAAUGGUAAUGGUGAGAAACCCAGAUGCCAUCUACUCAGUUUUCUCCUGCUUUGCUGAGGCAGCCCCCCAGGGGUCCAUGGAACACUAUUUGGAAAACACUAAUUUAGAUAUCUGAAUUCUCCAACUCUUAUUUGCAGGUAAAAAAGAAAAGAAGGAUGAGGUUUUCACUGACUCUUUCUCCAUAACAUGGGGUUACCACGCCCAGAUUAACUCAUUGUCUCCUAUUACGCAUUUUGUAGAAGAAAAAGACAAGAACAUUUGGCCAUUAUAAUAAAGUAUUCCAGUAACACGUGCAGUUUCCUAACCAUUCAACAAUCUCUUAUCGAGUGGGUGGGAGUUAAGAAACAUCCAUCCUGCCUCUGCACUACAUGCUGGCCUAGGCAUACACUUUUGCAAUGUUGAAAUAUUUUACCUAUGCAUGGUUUGUUGUAUCACAUACGUAUCUUUAUUCAUUUGUUCUACAAAUGCUUUUUAAAACCUACUAUACGCCAGGACCACUGUGAUGGCUUGAAAACAAAGCAAAACAAAAAAGACAAAGUGUCUAGUCUUUUAACACUCAGAGGAACUGCACAACUUAUUCAACUUAUUUUACACAGAGAUAUUUACAAUUAUAAAGGAAAAGUACCCUUUGGCAGUGAAAGUCAUUCCUUAUUUUCAAGUUGGCUAGAAUUACCAGAAAAAAAUGUUGUGUUACAAUCUCAUUGAAUUAGUGAUCCUCAUUGCUUUAAUGAUGUGUGAUAGUUUCUACUUUGAAAUUUUCAGGGACUGAUUGUUGGGGGUAAGAAAGUAACUUGUCCAAACAAACAUAUAUUCUGUAUUUUUUAUUGAUGUCCUCCGUCUGUCUCUUAAUACUGGCUAGUGGUCUUAAAUACAAAAAGAAAAUUGGGUUGAAUUCAGAGAGCGUAUGUGUGAGAUGUGGCCUGAGUACUUCUCAAGGAAAGGCUGGACAUUUUCUAUACUAGUUAUGCUAAAUGAAAUUCAGCCUACCCAGUUUUAUACUUGAAAACUUUUUUUUUUUUUUGUGAGGACGAUCAGCCCUGAGCUAACAUCCAUGCCAAUCCUCCUCUUUUUGCUGAGGAAGACUGGCCCUGGGCUAACACCCGUGCCCAUCUUCCUCCACUUUAUAUGGGACGCCACCACAGCAUGGCCUGACAAGUGGUGCAUUGGUGCGCGCCUGGGAUCCGAACCCGGGCAGCCAGCAGUGGAGCAUGCGCACUUAACCUCUACAUCACGGGGUCGGCCCUUUACUUGAAAACUUUUGAUUGAUGAGAUGAGCUAUUUGUGGAAAGCAAUCAUGUCCUCUGCAUUACUAGUAGCCGCAGUACCAUGGUAAGUGAAUAAUCGGUAUUCAAUACUUUAUUUACUGGCUGAUGGGUUAAAGCCCGAAACUAUUGGCCAUGAAGAUCCUACUAAGAGGGUACUGUUCUAAGAAGCAUAGCUUGAGGGUCAUUAAGUUCUACAACUUUCACUGUUUCUUCAAAAUCAGAUAUUAUGCAAAGGCAUUCUGGACAACUUAUUUCCUGAACUUUUGCCAAAGAAUACCAUUUUCUUCUAAUUCAAACACUAUCAGCUCCAGUAAAUGACAGUCACAGCUGCUUUCUUAGCCCUACUUGCACCCAAGUUUUCAAGAGGGUACACAAUUGCCCUCAGACUUGGUUCUAAAUUUUGUUAAGGAUGUGAUUUUUUAGCUAGGAUGACUCAGAUGAAACCCCUUUUUAAAGAGAUAACUCAGUGGUAUUUAAAGAAAUUCUGUUAUGUUAACUGGAAAAAAAACUUGGUUGGCAAGAAUAUUCAUUCUUCGAACUGUUUUAUGACAUUAGUUGACAGUAUUGCUAUCUGUGACUCGUUCUUAUAUCGGUCUGGUGCUGUGGGUGUGUCAGGUGGUGGUUGCAAAUGCAGUCAUACUUCAUUAGCCUAGCCCUUGCUGAUUCUCGAUUUGGGAUAGUUUCCAAAGGGAACUGGCCGAAGUUUUCUUAUUCUUGUCACCCAAAGAAAUAGAUUGCUAAGCAAAAUAACAGUCUUAAUAAGAUUUUUGGAGUGAUUUUUAUUGAGAAAGAAAAUGUAUUAUACAGGCAGUUUAAACAUUUGUUAGACUGAAAAUCAUUAUUAUCAGACCAUUAUCUGUUCCUUUCCAAUUACUGGCUGUGGGAUCUUAAUUUCCUUGUCUGUAAAACAGUGAUAAUAAUAGUACCUACUUCUUGGUGUUUCACCUCCUUCAUCCAUUACAUGGUAGUACUCACGGAGUUCACAUCAUGGAAUUGUGAUAAUGGCUUAAUACACGUAAAGUGCCUAAGGAUUACCUGGCAUAUAUAAUUCUUCCAA